UUGUGUAUUUGCUGGCAAUCCGGGCCUGCUUGGAUCAUUUUGGAAGAUACAUACGCCUGCGCUUUUCAAAGCGGACAGACGUGCCCGUGUCCCACUUGACAAAGGCGGAAUUAUUUUAGGAAAGACCAUGGCAACUAGUAAAGCAGAAUCCGAGAAUUCAAUCGGCGGCUGUAUGUUGACUGACAAGAAUAUAAUUGCUGUUAAUCCGGCCCUGCUUCUUGUACAAAUGCAUAGUGGGGAGACAUGAACAUUUUUCGAAAAUGCGGCCCUAUCCUCUUGGGAUUCUACGUUGGACAAAUUCUGAAAACGACCCAGAAAUAUAAUUGGAGGUUCAAACCCGUGCGAGGUGAGGUUUGAUAUAUGAAACAGACCAGUCAUGGGGACACGAGAUAUGGAAAGUUUCAGCGUAGUCGUCGCCACAUUGCUGCCAACACUGCAUAUAUAAGGAAUCACGAACCAUUCAGGUAAAAUUUUGAAAACACAUAGUUAUGGCAAUAUAGAACCUCUCUUUUUUUAACAGGAAUAUUGAGACUUAGACCAGUAUCUUUUAAGUAGGCAUGUGGGGUAAAGAAGACGCAGAAGCUUCACUCGGGUACCGUCGGUAACGUAGGCGAUUGAUAUAUUUCCACCACUACAUAUGUUGGAUUGGAAUUUCCCAUUUGAUGCUUUGACUGACUAAAUGAGGAAACUUGGAGGUAAGCUCUUACGGAAUUCUAUCGAAAUAUGUUUAGUAACAUAUUGGUGCAUUACUCUGUCUUCCAGUCAGUUUCACAUAAACUUUGCACGUAUUAUAGAAAUCCCACCUACUUUUUUUUGUGUUAAUAUUAUUGAAAGUAGUAGCUGGUAGCUGUAGUCAUAAGCCCAGAGAGUCUCUGUUUUGAACAUAAUACACAAAAUGGGGCGUUCAAAAACAAUAGACUGCAUGCCUUUUAGAGUCGGCGUAAACUAUGGUCAUAUACCCCUGAUCAAAUUCAGAACUAGAAAAUCGUUGUGUCUCUGCAUUAAAAAUAAUAGUAAAAUUUAUUGUAGGCACCUAGUAGAGUAUCGAAAAUUUCCAUUUUUAGUGCCAAAUUGGUUACUCCAGUAAAUUCCAACUGUUCUAAUUUUUUUUUAAUAAUUUAUGAUGUUAGUGAGUUUCAUUGCAAUUAUUUGUUACUUAAAUUUUCUACGUAUUAAACCUUAAUUAACAAUACGUUAUUCGUUAACGCAGGUAGAAUUAAUGACGCUAACUGACCUGAUUUUGUCCAGGGGGGCGUAGUACGGUAGUUUGUACUGUGAUGUUUGGUAGUUUGGCAGUGAGCUCUCAUUUAUGAAACUGGGGAAUGUUUCGUUAUCUUCAAAUCGUAAACACGUAUCAUUAGAAUUAUAUUUUUAAAAUAUUGAUUAGGACAUGUACUAAGUAACUAAAUGUUCUAGCGAAAAUAUUCACACAUAUUGCGGAAAACGUACAAAUUUAAAUUAGAGAAAAUUAACUAUUUUUAGAGGUUGGUUUUUCAAAAAGGUGGGGAUUUAGUUAGAGA